rnacentral:rRNA from 1 species
UAUAGUUGGACCCUGAACUCAUGACCAACGCUGUCGGGGUGCCUAACACAUGCCAGUCCCAACGGACAUGAAGUGCUACUGUAUCCACUUACUGGCCAACGGAUGAUUAAGGCGGUUAUGAACCUGCCUUUCAGCUGGGGGACCAUCGGUGGAAACGACUGGUAUUACCGUAUGAAACUCACCGGGUGACGUCCCUGGAUAAAUCAGAGCUUUAUGUGCUGAAACUAUGGUCUCGCGUCUGAUUAGCUGGUUGGAGGGGUAACGGCCCACCAAGGCGACGAUCAGUAGCCGGCCUGACAGGAUGAACGGCCACAUCGGGACUGAGAUACUGACCACACUCCUACGGCGACGCGUCACUGGUGGAAUAUUGGGGGAUGGUGCGUAAAUCCUGACCCACCAACGCCGGGUGAAGGAACAAGGUCUUGUGCUUGUAAUCUUCUCUAAUCAGGGACCAUAGACGUGAGGGUGUCUGGGCACCAAUCAACGGCUAAGUACGUGCCACUAGCCGCGGGUAAUACGUAGGUUGCAAUCGUCAUCGGGUAUAACUGGGUGUAGAAGGCGUCUAUGCUCACCUGCCUAUCAUAUGUCAAAUCCCGGGGCUCCUACCAGGGUAUGUAUUCGAGACUGUAGCCCUUGAGUAUCGGAGAGGCAGCGGAAUUCCUAGUGUAGCGGUGAAAUGCGUAGAUAUUAGGAGGAACACCAGUGGCGAAGGCGGCUUGCUGGACGACAACUGACGCUGAGGCGCGAAAGCGUGGGGAGCAAACAGGAUUAGAUACCCUGGUAGUCCACGCUGUAAACGAUGAAUACUAGGUGUGGGAGGACUGACCCCUUCCGUGCCGCAGUUAACACAAUAAGUAUUCCACCUGGGGAGUACGACCGCAAGGUUGAAACUCAAAGGAAUUGACGGGGGCCCGCACAAGCAGUGGAUUAUGUGGUUUAAUUCGACGCAACGCGAAGAACCUUACCAGGACUUGACAUCCAACUAACGAAGCAGAGAUGCAUUAGGUGCCCUUCGGGGAAAGUUGAGACAGGUGGUGCAUGGUUGUCGUCAGCUCGUGUCGUGAGAUGUUGGGUUAAGUCCCGCAACGAGCGCAACCCCUAUUGUUAGUUGCUACGAAAGAGCACUCUAGCGAGACUGCCGUUGACAAAACGGAGGAAGGCGGGGACGACGUCAAAUCAUCAUGCCCCUUAUGUCCUGGGCUACACACGUAAUACAAUGGCGGUUAACAGAGGGAAGCAAAGCCGCGAGGUGGAGCAAAUCCCUAAAAGCCGUCUCAGUUCGGAUUGCAGGCUGCAACUCGCCUGCAUGAAGCUGGAAUUGCUAGUAAUCGCGGAUCAGCAUGCCGCGGUGAAUACGUUCCCGGGCCUGUACACACCGCCCGUCA